CCAUCACGUUCCCAGGAUAACCAAAUUACAUUUUGGGUUUAAGUCUCGGGUAUUAUUUUUACCCUAGCUCCACCCCCCACUGCAUACUCUAAUUUGCUCCACUUGGCACAUGCAAUCAUAGACUAAUAUCUAAAUGAAUCCCAAUGUAUACAUUACAGCUUACAGAUAAUACUGUUGCUUUUUCCUGGAAAUUUGUACUCAUUCCUUCUGAAUUAAUUAUUUAUUCUGUUACUAUUAGUGUAGUACUCUGUAG